ACACAGACUAAACCCUGAGUGUAUUUUGAGAAACCUUUGACAAAGGUAAGAGAUACAAUACUCUGCUUUCCGCAGAGGGUCCUUGUGGUCCACCUGCACAGCACAGGAUGUCCCCUGACAGCAGAGGCUCAGACAGGGCUCAGCUG